UAAAAAAGAUAUAAUUUAUUGGUUUUUUAUUCGAUAUGUCAUGGAAAAGGUAGAAAUUAAUAUAUGUUAGUAGAGAAACUAAAUGAACAGUUGUUAAGGGUAUUCAGGGGAUUUCAUCACAUACCACAUGACGCGUGGUUGCUUCUUAACGUGUUUGAGAAGCGCUUGCCACGCGUCUUGAAACCUCAGAACAUAAAACCCUACUCUGAUCUUACAUCCACACAGAGAAAGAGAGACCUGGUGAUAAUUCCCGCGUGGCGAUGGCGGUGGUGAUUAGAAACCCUAGCCGUUCAACCCAUUUCAAGAAACAAAUCUCGAGCCAGAGAAUCAAGAGAGGUGGAGAUGGUUGUUGGCGACGGCAGACGCGGCGGAGGCCAUUCUGUGUGGGUAACUACGGCGGUAGCAAUGUUUUCAGCGGCGGCUAGGGUUCAAUUCCGACCACGGUAAGUUUUCAGUUCCGAUUGGGUUUAAGACUUGCAGAUCGGCUGGCAAUCCUCUUGGCCCUCGGGUUAAACCUAUGGUGAUGGUCUGGUGACCGUGACCGCUGUGGGUUCUAGGGUUCCGGCGAGGGUAUUGGUGUCUCUCAUCGGACGAUCUAGAGACAGAAUGGGAAACUUGAAGUCGAUCUCGAACAACCGCAACGUUAGAGACUUGAACCAGUGUUCCGGCGAGAACUCAGGUUUCAUAUUCAAAGUAUUAUCCACCAUUAUGACUAAGGCUGGUGGGACAAUUGAUCUUGAACCUUGUCUUACACAUACGUCAACUGUGGAACCUACUCUUGCUCCUGUGGUUGUGGAACAUACUCUUGCCGCACCGGUCGAUGAUGACUACUAGAGCCGCAACUUCGAAUGCGCUUCGUCAGCAAAGAUUUGUGCGUGAAGUUACAUUACAGUACAACCUUUGCAAUGAACCUUGGAUUAAGUAUAGUAUAAGUGCCAUAGCAAACAAAGGUCUGAAGAAGCCUCUAUUUACCUCUGCUCGAUUGAAAAAAGGGCGAAGUUCUGUACCUGGAAAGUCCUACACAAAGUUUUGAGCUUUGUUUUAAUGGAGAGAAGAUGGUGAAGUCGGGAAAUGAAACGGAUACGAAUGGCGUGGACAGCGAUAAUAACAAUAUGAUGGAUGUAUUCAGAUGGUCUUUGUGUAAGAAGCCUCUUCCUUAGACGCUUAUGUGCUCCAUCGGCAUCCCUUUCCCGCCUGAACAUCUAAAGGUGUAAUCUUUCAUUUCGUUCCAUUUCCGUUUGAUUCCAUUCCGGGUUUGAAUAGCCGUAUAGUUUUUUUGCUUGGUUUAAAAAAGCGUGCCUGGGGUGAUCAGGAAAGCGCCCCAGGGCCUUGAGGAGGUGCUUCAUGCACACAUGGGUCAAAAUUGCUUCACGCACCGUCGAUGAUGGCUGUGAAUUAGUUGCCAGAGUUUUAUACGUAACUGAUGAUGCUGAAUAUUUCUUUGGAUGAGUGUAGCUUAUUGGGUCGAUUUGAUGUAUGAUGGUGUUUGAUGUGCUGUUAGGUGGUGUCGAAGUAACAUAAUUUAGAGUAAUUUUGCAGGUCAUUUCUCAAUCCGGUUGGCAUGCUUCAAUUAUGCUUCAUAAUACACUUUAUCUAUGGUGUCGAGGCUUCUGUUUGUGGCGUUUUCACCGUUAUCGCCGUUCAGAUGACGUCGUCAUCAGUCGUUUGGGUAAUUUAUUUACGGUGUCUAGGCUUCUGUUUGUAGCGUUCUUAUUUAUGAUUUCAUUACGUGCGAUUUCGAGGAUCAAGGCAAAUAUGAGAUUGCUGAUUCACAUAAAGAAGCUGAAAAGGUUGAUUUUAUCAUUUGGAAAUAAUGUCUAUUUAUAUACACGUGUAGGUGGUGUCUAUUUAUAUGAAUCAUAAAUAAUUAGAUGAUAAAUAGUAUUAAUUAAGCAACUUUAAAGUGUUAUAGGAAGGGGAUGAGCACUUGUCAUACAAAGAGACCUAGGAUUGCAAGCUAGAGUUGUUGGUGAAUUGCUCCAACCUGGUGGCCACAAAAAAUUGAUGCAACUGGAUUUAGAAGAUUGUGUAGAGAACAUAGAUGCUCAAAAGGAGAUGCUUUAGGUAGAUGUUUUUACAAUGGCGAUUUGUCCAGCGGAUUACAGUUGCAUUCUGUAACGGAAUAUAAAAAAAACGAAUUGCCACAAAAUUUUGUACGGUUCAACGCUUAUUGUGUAGAAUAUAAGAGCAAAUUAUGUUUCUAAUUACAUCACAUAAUGUAAACCACCACUACAAGAACAAUCUUCAAUGAUGAUUUAGCAAUUCAAUUGACUUGAAUGGUUUUCCGAA